rnacentral:rRNA from 1 species
UACAGAGGUCUCAAGCGUUGUUCGGAUUCAUUGGGCGUAAAGGGUGCGUAGGUGGCGCGCUAAGUCAGGUGUGAAAUUUCGGAGCUCAACUCCGAAACUGCAUUCGAUACUGUCGUGCUUGAGGACUGGAGAGGAGACUGGAAUUUACGGUGUAGCGGUGAAAUGCGUAGAUAUCGUAAGGAAGACCAGUGGCGAAGGCGGGUCUCUGGACAGUUCCUGACGCUGAGGCACGAAGGCCAGGGGAGCAAACGGG